CUCCUUUACUGUGUUAACCUCUACCACUUCAGCUGGAAGGCUAUUCCAUGCAUCAUGGAAUAGCCUUCCAGCUGAAGUGGUAGAGGUUAACACAGUAAAGGAG